CGGGCGUUAAGUUGCAGGGUAUAGACCCGAAACCCGGUGAUCUAGCCAUGGGCAGGUUGAAGGUUGGGUAACACUAACUGGAGGACCGAACCGACUAAUGUUGAAAAAUUAGCGGAUGACCUGUGGCUGGGGGUGAAAGGCCAAUCAAACCGGGAGAUAGCUGGUUCUCCCCGAAAGCUAUUUAGGUAGCGCCUCGUGAAUUCAUCUCCGGGGGUAGAGCACUGUUUCGGCUAGGGGGCCAUCCCGGCUUACCAACCCGAUGCAAACUGCGAAUACCGGAGAAUGUUAUCACGGGAGACACACGGCGGGUGCUAACGUCCGUCGUGAAGAGGGAAACAACCCAGACCGCCAGCUAAGGUCCCAAAGUCAUGGUUAAGUGGGAAACGAUGUGGGAAGGCCCAGACAGCCAGGAUGUUGGCUUAGAAGCAGCCAUCAUUUAAAGAAAGCGUAAUAGCUCACUGGUCGAGUCGGCCUGCGCGGAAGAUGUAACGGGGCUAAACCAUGCACCGAAGCUGCGGCAGCGAACGUAUCACCCAAGACAACUUUACGGAGUUGACGAUUGACGGAGCGAAGCGACGUCAAAGCGUUCAUUAAAGUCGAGUUGGCUUAGGGAUACGUUCGUUGGGUAGGGGAGCGUUCUGUAAGCCUGUGAAGGUGUGUCGUGAGGCAUGCUGGAGGUAUCAGAAGUGCGAAUGCUGACAUAAGUAACGAUAAAGCGGGUGAAAAGCCCGCUCGCCGGAAGACCAAGGGUUCCUGUCCAACGUUAAUCGGGGCAGGGUGAGUCGACCCCUAAGGCGAGGCCGAAAGGCGUAGUCGAUGGGAAACGGGUUAAUAUUCCCGUACUUGGUGUUACUGCGAAGGGGGGACGGAGAAGGCUAUGUUGGCCGGG
rnacentral:rRNA from 1 species